UCCAGGGUAGCCUAGUGGACAUGGCAUCUGCUCGGUAAGCGGAACAUUGUGGGUUCGAUUCCCAUCUCUGGAC
rnacentral:tRNA from 1 species